rnacentral:rRNA from 1 species
CAGCCGUAAACUAUGCGCGUUAGGUGUACUGGUGACCACGAGUCACCGGGGUGCCGAAGGGAAACCGUGAAACGUGCCGCCUGGGAAGUACGGUCGCAAGGCUGAAACUUAAAGGAAUUGGCGGGGGAGGCACCACAACGGGUGGAGCCUGCGGUUUAAUUUGGACUCAACGCCGGAAAUCUCACCGGAUAGGACAGACACAUGAUAGUCGGGCUGAAGACUCUACUUGAUGAUCUGAGAGGUGGUGCAUGGCGUCAGUGACU